AUUGAACGCUGGCGGCAUGCCUUACACAUGCAAGUCGAACGGUAACAGGUCUUCGGAUGCUGACGAGUGGCGAACGGGUGAGUAAUACAUCGGAACGUGCCCGAUCGUGGGGGAUAACGGAGCGAAAGCUUUGCUAAUACCGCAUACGAUCUACGGAUGAAAGCAGGGGACCGCAAGGCCUUGCGCGGACGGAGCGGCCGAUGGCAGAUUAGGUAGUUGGUGGGAUAAAAGCUUACCAAGCCGACGAUCUGUAGCUGGUCUGAGAGGACGACCAGCCACACUGGGACUGAGACACGGCCCAGACUCCUACGGGAGGCAGCAGUGGGGAAUUUUGGACAAUGGGCGAAAGCCUGAUCCAGCCAUGCCGCGUGCAGGAUGAAGGCCUCGGUUGG
rnacentral:rRNA from 1 species